UGCCUAGCAACUCCUAUCCCUACCUCCGCGUGGCACCGGCCGGGCUGCGAGCAACCAUAGGGAAGAUCGGGUAGCUAACACCAGUAGAAACUUUGGUCGUAGGCUGACAGGGAAAAGG
rnacentral:ribozyme from 1 species